UGAGGCCUGUCAGAGGGCUUUACAGAAAUGCUAGCCUCCAUAAUUACGGUCCAAAGUAUUAAUUAAAUUUCCAAGAUUUAUCCAGAAAGCAAAAGUGGACAUUUUAGAUAAGAGAAACUAAUAUUUUAAAAGGGGCUUGGGCAUAAGAGUGUCGUUUUACCAUCGUGAGGACAACUAAAGGCUGGCAUUGAGGUAUUGCCUGUGUGGUUGAGGGCUGAGCGCGGCUCGCAUUGAGCACUUUAGGACAAGUUCUAUCUGGUUUGCCAUUCUGUUCUCCUUAGCAUCCGCAUCUUCUACUAAGUAAACCAAGUGACUGGAAAUCUGAUCCCUGAAGAGGAGAAUUCCCUAAGUGGGUGGUGACUAUUUAAUACUCUUAGGCAAUAGAGGCAAGUGUAUAGCCAUCUGAGUAAAAUCUGCUCACACAUUUUGGUUGUAAAUUCGGGUAUUUGGCUUUUGUUGUAAGUAAAGAGUUCAAAGCUUAGAUAUAAAUUCUGAUAUCCUAGCCAGACCUCUGUCAUUUCUAGGUUUAAAAUUUAUUUGUAAUCUAUCACAGUCGUGAUAUAAAUACAGAAAAAUGUUGGUAUCUUGAAAAUUCUUUAAAAGAUGAAAAUUCUUGUGUGUCAUCUUUGGCAGUGAAAAGAUAAUCAAAAGGGAUAAAAAAAUGGAAGCUGUCAUCUUCAGGGCUGGGUAUACAGGGGUAGAGAAUUUGUUUAGCAUAUGUGAGUCACUGGGUUCAAUCCCCAAUCCUACCAAAAUAAAAUAGAAGGGGAAACAUGUUAUGAAAUUGUCAUCUUCCAUAAUGCAAUGGAGGCCUGUCUUCAGUACUCAUGGAAAGAGACAACUGAAAUUGCUAAUAUAGCCAUAAAUCACUAACAAGAGUAAACUGCCGGGAGAAGCAAGAAGAGAAACAUCUUUAGUGUUGUUACCCCGGGGGAUUCAUCCACUGUCUCAAUCAUAGAUUAGUGCUGACCUCUGCAAAGUUUGCUACUUAGGAGGCAAAUGUUAAGACGAGAAAAUUACAAUCAGACCUGGAGAUGGCUCAGUGGACCAGAGUUCGAUUCCUAGCACCUACUCGGAAUGGCUCACAUCCUCCUAGAGCUCCAACUCCAGGGGCUCCAAUACCCUUUUUUCUGGACGCCUUUGGGCAUCUAUGCCUACUAACCUGGGAAAACCUUCUCUGUGGUCUAGUAUAGGCUGUUUGAAUUUCUCUGAAGUUACUAGUGCUAAGGCAGUCGAAACCUCCCUCUUCUUUUUAGAGCUGCACCCAGUUAUCUUUGCUGCUGUUGUACACACAAGCUAUCUGAAAAGUGUUGACACCAAUUUAAAUGUCAUCGCCAGGGAGCUUAAAAGGUCCCGGGACCAGGACUUUUUGCCUUUAGACCACCAAACCAAACCCAAAGUGACUUUGUUGCAUGUAACUAAAAGAUGUUGCCACAAGACGGUUGCUCGCAGGCCUUUGAACUGCCUUUCCUUUGUUCCCUUUAAGAAUCCUCCCAGCACAGUUGAAAGUUUUGCAGCCAGCUUCCCCCUCAGCCCCCCUUUUACAAUUAAAGAAAAAAAUACUAUCAAACUCACAGAAAAGUUGCAGUAUAGUGCAAAAAGUACUUUUUUUUUUUUCGGAAAAUGUGAGCAUAAGUUGCUGAGUUGAUCCGUAUCACUUUUAUCACUUUGAGCUCUUUAAAGUGUAGGUCCUAUCUCAGGCAUAAAACCACAGUACAGCCAGCGAAACCAGGAAAUGAACAUUGGUAAAUUACUACCAAUUUAUCCCCUGCCCCAUCAGUGUUCUGAUUGUGUCUGUAAUACUCUUUCCCACGAGAGGAUUUAGUCCAGAGCACUCGUGGUCCCCGUCACAUCUCUACUUGCAGUCUAGAACAGUCCCUCUUGCUGUCACGACUUUGGCACUUCCCAGGAUUGUCAGCCAGUUACUUUGUAAGCUCUCUCUCAAGUUAGGUUGAUCCCUCAUGGCAUGACUCCUGCUCUGUAAGAAUUAGGGUGUCCACCAUAGUUGAUCACGUGUGACUUCACGUGUGACUUCAGGGACAUGAAAUGUGACUUUGUGUCAACCAGGCUUUGCCACUAUAUAGCUAUUCUUUCACUUCUAUGGUUUUAAGCAUUGAAAAGAAGUACUCUGGGGACCUGGAGAGAUGGCUUAGCUCUUAAGAGCACCUGUUGCUCUUCCAGAGGACCUGAGUUCAGUUCUUAGCACAUAUUAAGUGGCUUCUCAUCACCUAUAACUCCAGCUCCGAGGAAUCAGACACCCUCUUCUGGACACCCCUGGCACCCCCGAUCACACACAUGGAAUCCACUAACUCAGACACAUACACAUAAAUCAAACUAAUUCACAAGUAUUUUGAAACUAUAUAAAUAGUCUAUUUAUCUUCAGACUUACUUUUUUAACUAAUUAGAUGAUGUGUUUAUUUUAUUUCAUUUCAUUUUAUUUUAUUUUAUUUUAUUUUAUUUUAUUUUAUUUUAUUUUAUUUUAUGUGCAUGAGUGUUUUGCCUGCAUGCAUAUAUGUGCAUCAUGUGCAUCAUGUGCAUGCCUGGUCUUCACAGGUUCAGAAGAAGGCAUUGAACCCCAUUGGACUUAAGUUAGAAAUGGGUUAUGAGGCACCAUGUGGGUGCUAGGAACUGAAACCAGGUCCUCUGCUAGAGUAACAAGUGUUCUCCGGCCCCUUCAUCAGAUUUUCAACAGCUUAUGGUCCAGCACUGUUUAUUUCAAUGCUCACUAAUGCCAGUUGGGUAGAGGAAACUCUUUAGUGAUGACUUCUGUGCCCAAAGACAUUCUCUUCCUUCUAUGAUCUCUUUCUUGCCUUCUGGCAUAGAACAAUGUUUCCAACCCAUCUUGUUCUUUCCCUGACAUGAGCUGUUUCUCCAGGGAGCCUGGUUCCUUUAAGAGGAGAAUAAUAUUUGGAUGUUCUGUCAGAGGCUGGGAGCUGUCUGUGCUUCUCUUUCCAGAUGAUAUUGGCAAAGAGGGCUGUAUUUGUUUCUGAGUAUUCAUGUCAUACAUUUAUAUGUGUGUUUUAUAUUUAGUAGUAGUCAUGGGUUUGUGUCUAUGCCUUCAGUUCCAACACAACCAGCUUACAUAUUCAGUAUUAAUACAUUCCUUUUGAGGCUAGACCCCAGACCCUUCCAUAUGUAAGCCAAGGGCUCUAGCACUCAUAGACAAGCCAGAGUUUCCAUUAAAUAUUAUUGAGACCUAUUUUAAAGGGUUUUAAAGGUUCAAGGGAAACACAGCCUUUUGCAUUGCAGCCACCAAAUCAAAGGCUAUCUUGCUAUAUUUAACUAAAAGAUGUUCAUUCUAUAUGACAGUUGCUCAUGAAACCUUUGAACUAGCUUUGUGUUCCCCUCCCCCCCACGCUGAGAAUCUUCAGUGUGCACGUGAAGGUUUCACAGCUGUCAGAGAAUGACCUUGAACCCUUGAUACCACCCACCCCCACCCGUGCCUCCCAAGGGCUUUGGUUCUGAUACCUCAUGCCAAACUGCGAUUUUUUUUUAAAUUUUUCAAAUUCAUGUGUUUCUUAUGCCUUCAUAUUUUGUUGCUAGCAUGGAAUGGCUGAUAUACUGAGCUUUCCCAAUUAGAAUAGAAUGUAUAUAGAGUGAUUGUAUCUUUCAAACCGACCGGGAACAUAACCUGAUUACCGUCUAUGCUAUGACAUAUGAAAUCAGUAUUGUCCUGAGCAGUUUUGCAUAAACCAUUACCAUGCAAGUAAAAGCAGAUCUCAAAAAUUUUCAGCUACACAGGAGCUACCAAACCCUUAUUCCCAGAGAAAACAACUUACAGAUUCUAUACAUGUAAUUAAAAAAAAAUCUAUCACCUGAAGACAUUAGAAACAGCCUCCGUCUUAAACCUCUGAAUGAUGAAAGCUUGAAUCCAGAAUCUACAAACUUAGUUAAAACCACAACAAUAAUAACAACAACAAUGAAAAACCAUCCGCAAUUAGAAAAAAUGGGAAGAACUCUGAUAUGGAAAAAGCCAAAAGGGAAGUAUGAAAUGUCUGGUUGAUUCUGGAAGAGUGUGUGUGCAUGUGUGUGGGUCUGUGUGUGCAUAUGUGCGUGCAUAUGUAUGUGCUUGUGCAUGUUUGCACGAUACCCCAUCUGAAGCUGAACUAUGAAAUUUAUGUUUCCUCUGGGUGACCAGCUCAUUCAGGUAUCCUUGGAAUUAUAAAAUCUCUAUGGUGCUGUUGGUCAUUCUGGCUGCUGCUUACCCCAGGUGAAGAGGGAGAAAUAGAACUUGAACCCAGAUAAGUCAACUACAUGUUUUAUAAACUGAAAACAACCACAAUUAACCCACCCCCAUUCCUACAUAGUUAAGAGAAAUAUAAGAGAAUGUAGGAUUUCUGCAACAUAGCAUUUAUAAUGUCCAGAAUACAAUCUAAAAUUGUUGUGUCAUACGAAGAAGCAAGACAAUGUAUUACUUCCUCCAGGGAAAGAAAAACUAUUGAUGACUGGGCUCAGAUGGUACAGGGAUGUUGGGAAGAUAUUGGGGAGAAUCUAAUACAACUGUGAGUAUUUGAAAGAUGUAAAGGAAAAAACACACGCAAUGAAUUAACACAUGGGAAAUGUUGGAAAAGAAGCUAU
rnacentral:lncRNA from 1 species